UCACAAUUGGUGGCCUCUGGGCCACAAGGAAAUGUUAGCCUCAUCUGAGGCAGAUCAGCACUAUCCACCAAACCAGGCAUCUGUCUCUGUCUGGGGCAAAACGUGAGCACACAGAUGUAAGAUAAAAAGAAAAUGUCAAGAUUCCGACGAUACCACAGACACCGCAGCAGAAAAGGCGGUCGUUGUAGUGGCCAUGGAGGCAAAAGGCGUAAGAGGAGAGGCAAGAGAAAAGGACAUGGAGGAUGCCGGGGCACAAGAAAGCAAGGCCGUUACCACUACAGGAGGUGUGUCCUAUAUUAAGCUCACCUAGGUAGAACAGAUGAUGCCUGAUGACGAGCUGCCGCAGCCUGAACUGAAGCAACAUCUUUCUUCAAACAAAGCAUCAACACAUGGAGCAGGAGAUGGUACAGAUCAUUUCCAAUUAAAACUUGCUCAAUUGAAAUA